GACGAACGCUGGCGGCGUGCUUAACACAUGCAAGUCGAACGGAAAGGCCCUGCUUUUGUGGGGUGCUCGCGUGGCGAACGGGUGAGUAACACGUGAGUAACCUGCCCUUGACUUUGGGAUAACUUCAGGAAACUGGGGCUAAUACCGGAUAGGAGCCCCUGCUGCAUGGUGGGGGUUGGAAAGUUUCGGCGGUUGGGGAUGGACUCGCGGCUUAUCAGCUUGUUGGUGGGGUAGUGGCUUACCAAGGCCUUGACGGGUAGCCGGCCUGAGAGGGUGACCGGCCACAUUGGGACUGAGAUACGGCCCAGACUCCUACGGGAGGCAGCAGUGGGGAAUAUUGCACAAUGGGCGGAAGCCUGAUGCAGCAACGCCGCGUGCGGGAUGACGGCCUUCGGGUUGUAAACCGCUUUCGCCUGUGACGAAGCGUGAGUGACGGUAAUGGGUAAAGAAGCACCGGCUAACUACGUG
rnacentral:rRNA from 1 species